rnacentral:rRNA from 1 species
GCCAGACUCCUACGGGAGGCAGCAGUGGGGGAUAUUGCACAAUGGGGGGAACCCUGAUGCAGCGACGCCGCGUGGGUGAAGGAGCGUUUCGGCGCGUAAAGCCCUAUCGGCAGGGAAGAAGGAGGACGGUACCUGACUAAGAAGCCCCGGCUAACUACGUGCCAGCAGCCGCGGUAAUACGUAGGGGGCAAGCGUUAUCCGGAUUUACUGGGUGUAAAGGGGGCGCAGACGGCAGCGCAAGCCAGGAGUGAAAGCCCGGGGCCCAACCCCGGGACUGCUCUUGGAACUGCGCGGCUGGAGUGCAGGAGGGGCAGGCGGAAUUCCUGGUGUAGCGGUGAAAUGCGUAGAUAUCAGGAGGAACACCGGUGGCGAAGGCGGCCUGCUGGACUGCGACUGACGUUGAGGCCCGAAAGCGUGGGGAGCAAACAGGAUUAGAUACCCCCGUACU